rnacentral:lncRNA from 1 species
CCUGGGAAAGCGUGGUGAUCUCUGUUUAUUUAUAAGCUUAGGCCUUUGAGGUCAUCGGUGUCUGAAGGUCUGCCUGGUUACCUAGCAGUAGCAAAGGGCACAGAGAUUGCAGCCAAGACCAGCCCUCCCGGGAGUGCAAACCUUUUUUAAAGCCAAGGACGUUAUCCUGAAUCCAUUCCAAACUCAAAUCAAGACGGCUGUGCCUGAUAUUUUUUGUAAACCAGGCAGGCUCGGGAAUUGACAGACUUCACAUUGAUGAAUCUUUGUCGCAGAGAGCCGCUGUCAGCCAGCCAAAACAAAUAGCAUAAAGCAGAAUAAUGAAACAUCGCUGGCAGGAGAUCUUGUUUUCUCUCAAAGAGGGCCAAUUUUUAGUGUGGUGGCAGUAACUCUAAGAAUCAAAAGAAAAUAAAUCCCAACCCACACUCUAGCACUUUUCCUCCAUCUUCACGUUCAUUUUAUCUCACAUCUCAAACACACACUUUUUUUUCCCCCUAUUGAAACUGAAAGGUGUUCUUUCUAAAAAUAAGUGGUCUAUAUUUAAUUCCAUAAAUGCUUUCUUCCUGGGGCUUGCUGUUUUGCAAGACUGUUGCUUUCACUGAAGUGAUAGUAGAGAGUUAGGCUUGCUCUCUUGCAAAAACUCUUUUGAGAUACCUGUGUGCGUGAUAUGUGUGUGCAGUAGCUCACAUGUACACACGUGUUCAGAGUCUGAUGGCUCGUUAGCUCUGUCCCUGUGUAUGAUAAAAAUAUUUCCAUGAAGAAAAGAUAAUGAUCCAGCUUGUUUGCUUCAUGCGGAUCAAGAGCUAGAAAUGCCUGGUUCACCCCCAAACAAGGGCCACGCACCCUGAAAAGCCCAUAGACCAAGAACCACACGGAUCAAGUAGUCAUUUGUAAAACUUGGUUGCAACUGUGAAUCCACCGGCUACUGAACUGAACAGCACAGAACAUAAAACGUGCAGCAUUCAUACAAAUGUUGUUGGAAUGUUUGAUCCCACUGGUUGACCAGUUACCCGGAUGAAGACCCAGAACAAAAGAUAGAAAGGGGGGA